rnacentral:lncRNA from 1 species
UGGUCAAAAACAUCAAUACCUUUCCAAUUAACACUGAGAAAUUAAGGUUAAGAUUCUCCUUUUGUACUGGGAAACAGGCUGGAGGACUAUGGUCCUCAAGUUUAGACCAAGAGGACUAUGGUCUCAAGGUUCACCAUGAGAAAUGUGUUGAACAUUUUAGUAUGCUCUAUUGUAUAAUUUUUUUGGAGGGGGGGAUGGAGUUUCGCUGUUGUUGCCCAGGCUGGAGUGCAAUAGCACGAUCUUGGCUCACCGCAACCUCUGCCUACCGGGUUCAAGUGAUUCUUGUGCCUCAGCCUCCUGAGUAGCUGGGAUUAUAGGCAU